AUGAGGCACCAUCUAGGAAACCUAUGCUCACCUGGACACCAUCUACUGGGUAUGCCACUAUGCCGAGGAAAUCUGAUGCACGGUCUGCACGACAUGCUGCAAAUAUGCCUGGAAUAUGUAUGCCGGUGCUUACUGAAUAUUCAGUGUUGCAAAUGCUUUCACAUGGCUCUGCAUGUGAGGAAUGGUUCAACUCACAAUGGCACUAUACAGUUCUUGAAGAUAUGUGUGCUGGGAAUAUAUUUUUGUACCAUGAAGCAUAAGGCCAACGACACUUGGACCAUCAGGUCUCUUCAGCAUGGUUAUCGGUUUGGAACAAUUUCGAUGCUAUUCAGUCCAUCUUGUAGCUUUAUAUCUGUCGAGGCAUUGUUCACUCAAUUGGAUGGGAGUUUCGGACACUUGUCUUAUCGUGAUUACCUGAACUUGCUUGGAAGCUGUUGCAAAAUUGCUAGUACUGAUCUGCUUCUAUAUGGGAAUGAUUUGUUCAUGGGACAUAGCAUUUCUGAAUUGGUCGUAUGGCCGAAAUGGGAUUUAGAUGGUCAGAUCAUUAGAGAUCAAGCAUGGCUGAGUGUUGCGUAUGAAUUUGCAAGAGCAUACAUACAGUUUGUUCCCAUCGAUAUAUUUCUUGUUGUGCCCUUGCUUCCCGUACAUUGGUACUACACAAUGGUGCACACAAGUAGGAAAGCUACAGAGGUUGCAGGGAAGUGCUAUUUUGUGCAGCUUGAGGUUCUAGCAAUGAAGAAUAAAAAUUUGGUUCUAGCAAUUGAUAUUUUUGUGCAAUGGGACCCAAGAAUUAGGAAGAUUGUUCUUAGGACUGCAAUUAUUUUGCGGAAACUGCAAUCAAUUUUUGGUCCAGAUUUUCAUGAUAAUACAUCAACCGAUCACUUGUUGGGUGAGAUACUUCAUUGUCAAGAUUUUGGCCAGUAUGGAAUUGAUCAAAAUGGUUCACUAGUGCAUCUCCAGAGGAGAAUACAUGUUAUGGUUGCAUCAUACAAUCACUAUGGUCCUUCAGAGGAAGAUGGUGUGAGUAGGUACUAUACAGGACACAUUUUUUCUACUUCCCCUUUGGUGAUCUUGGGUCAUGCAACUUCAGCAAAGUUGGCUCUUCUAGUUCUUCCUCCACAUGAUCUGGUGUUUGUGACCUUAGAGAAAUAUAGGGAGAUGGACAAGUACAUUCAUGUAGAAGGGAACAUGCCAAUUAUUUUCUUACAGCUACUGCAGCUCACACAAGAAUUAGACGAUGGAAGAGUUUGUGAUCUUAUGAUGUUUUUCAUUGGCGUGGGAGCAAGUAUGUCAUUGAAACAAGGAACUGAACAUGCAGCCACGUAUCAGCAGCUCAUUUGGGAUCCCGGUGAUGUAUACAAGAAUACAUUGAGUUCAAGACUUGUUCCGUCCAAAGGAUGUGUUCAUCUGGAGCGGCCGUGGGACCCAGGUAUUAUUGCCAACUCGGAGUCGGCAAACCUGUUUGUGUCGAGGCCAGAUGAUCUCAAGGCUGAGGUGGGAUCUACAAGGUGUUGCAGUCUGAUCACGCCAUUGCUUGGGGACAAGCAAUGUUUCUUGGGGGCGGUAAUGUCAUACACGUGCAUAGAACCGCACAAGGCUUGGCUGUCAUGGGCCGUGGCCCAGGUGGUCUUGGGCUUGUGUUGGCGCUGGAGAGGAUAA
rnacentral:rRNA from 1 species